AUACGAAGGGGGCAAGCGUUGUUCGGAAUAACUGGGCGUAAAGCGCACGUAGGCGGAAUGUUAAGUUAGAGGUGAAAUCCCAGGGCUCAACCCUGGAACUGCCUUUAAUACUGGCAAUCUAGAGACCGAGAGAGGUGAGUGGAAUUCCGAGUGUAGAGGUGAAAUUCGUAGAUAUUAGGAGGAACACCAGUGGCGAAGGCGGCUCACUGGCUCGGUACUGACGCUGAGGUGCGAAAGCGUGGGGAGCAAACAGGAUUAGAUACCCCAGUAGUCC
rnacentral:rRNA from 1 species